GCAUAUGGAAGUUCCCAGGCUAGGGGUUGAAUCGGAGCUACAGCUGCAGCCCUACGCCACAGCCACAGCUAUGUGGCAUCUGAGCCACAUCUGCAACCUACACCACAGCUCACCACAAUACUGGAUCCGCAACAAGGCCAGGGAUCAAACCCACAUCCUCAUGGAUACCAGUCAGGUUUAUAAACCACUGAGCCACAAUGGGAACUCCCCCUAACAUCAUUUUUGAGUUUCCAAUUGGAUCUGCAUAUAUGUCAUCUUUUGGGGAGCUGAUAUAUGUGGCAAAAAAAUCUUUUCAUAUGAGAGAGAUACCUGGUCUUUUCAUGUAUUUAGAUAAUAUUUUAUGACAUCUGAUGAGAUUAAAUAGUUUGUUUCUUCUAAGUCUUUUGGUAUUCUACCUUCAUUUAUAAAUUUUAAAGUUUAUAUGUUGCAUUAUAGUCAUAUAAUUAGAACGACUUUCCUUUUUUUCCUUUUCCAGGAAUAAUGCUAAUAGUACUAAUAAAGAAAUAGCCUCUAUGAGAUAAUGUCGCUAAACUUUGAUACUUGGAGGAAAGCAAGAUUGAGUUUUUAAUAAGCAAGCUAGUUUUACAGAAAUACUAGUUGUUUCAAAUAGUAUUCUUAUUUGAGUCACAUUCCAGGAUUGUGUUUAACUCAUUCAGAUGAACCAACUAUUAACUUUAUUUUGUUUAGCCACAUUAAGUACAGCUAAUUGUUAUUCUUAUGUAUUAUUUGUCUUCUCCUAUCAGAUUUUUAAAUAUGCUCUCGCUCUUUGUACAGCAAGGUGACCAGUCGCACAUACAGUAGAAAAUUGACAGAACACUGUAAACCAGCUAUAAUGGAAAAAGUAAAGAUCAUUAUAAAUAAAUAAAUAAAUAAAUAAGGUGCUCUCUAAAGACAGGAAAAUAAGAAAAAUCGCUUCCCAGAUGUUUUACCCUAGAUGUUCCAUAAUGAUGCCAUCUACUAAUGACUCUUUACUUCCACAGUUUUCUACAAUGACCUAAAAUUAAGUAAAUAAAUGUAGAAUAGUUUCCACUAUAUGCCAGGCACUGGGCCGUGUCCUGGUAAAUUGUAGAUAUGAAUAAGUCAGGCGUGCUCUCUGCCUUCCUAAAUCUGAGAGUCUACAGCAGAGAAUGGUACUUUUUGCAAAAAGCUAGUAAAAUCCUCUAUACAUGCUUAAAUGGUUUCUAAAUUGAUGAUAGUUUUUUGCCUGAUCAAUUGAUGAUAAUAUUAAGUAAAAAUGAAACUAUCACACAUUAAUAAAGAUGAGAUAAUUGAGUCCCAGUUAAAGGGACCAUGAGGCCAUGACCGUGUGUUUGAUCACCAUGAUUAGUUUAUUUUACUCUAAACACUUAAAACUAGGCAAUUUUUCCAAGGAGGAUUAUGUCACAUAUUACGAAUGUUUCAACACUUAUCCCCACUUGGGAAAAAUGUUUUUCAAGCUGACCGGUAGCAUUAUCUUUAGCUACAGAGGGCAAGAUUUCUCCAACAAAUAAAUGUUUUUUGUUGAAGUGUAUUGCUAUGAGACAUUUUCUUUUUUGUGGUUAAGGUAUAUUUGUCUACAAUCUCAUAAUUUUACAAUACUAAUUGCAGAUAAAUUCUGAAGAAAAUUCAUAUCUUCUUCCAACUUAGCAAUAAGCAACCUUCCUAGAUAGAAUUAGGAUUGCAGUCUCCAAGUUGCUUUUCCAAAGGUGCAUUUUACUACAAAGCUAAAUGUUACAUCAACAUAAAGGUAGUAACUUAAUUUAAUAAAUAUAUUUGUAUUUACCAGGCAAUCAGUACCCUUAAUUACGAUAAAUAAUUUCAGGCAAUAAAUUAAAAAUCUCUUGAAGAAUAGCUUUAUGCUAUCAUUUUUAGGAGUGAAGAAAUAGUAAAAGUGUUAAACAUUUUUUUCAAAGUUUGAUAUUAAGAUACAUUGGAAAAAAGAUCAUAGAGUGAAGAUUUAAUAAAUAGAAACCACAUAACUUUAGAAAUUUAAUAGAGGAUCAAAGGUUGCACUGGUGAUUUUAUAUCUGCUAUUAUAUAUGAAUGCUCAUUUUAUAGAAACCUCUCACUCUGUUCAAGUUUCUGUUUUCUCUCCAUCUCAAAUCUCUUGUGAGUUCCACCAUCUGUUUUUAAAAGAGCAAUAUACCUGUCUAGCCUCCAGCUAUUCUGCUUGUGACUCUAGCAAUCAGAUGAAACAUUCUGUAACUUGGCAGAAAUGGCAGCUCAUUGUGUUCCUUAGCCCCCUCCCCAGAAACAGCACUGUAACUCCCUAUGAGUGAUAGCAGAAGCCUGUUUCCUCAGGAUCUGGCAUGCCAAUCUAACAGCUCUGUGAUGAGGCCCUGAGAGUGGCUUUUAGAAGCUGAGAGCAAUGCUUAGGUAUUAGGCAGCAAGAAAACAAAGGCUUGAGUCUUACAGGUACAAGGGACCGGAUUCUCCCAACCCAAGCACACUCCCUUCGCCACAGCCUCCAUCUUUGUGUUACUGGGCAUUUAGACUGCUUAGGUGUAUAUGUUUUUAAGAGUAUAGCCUUUGAAGGAAGACUAUUUAAAUUUGUAUUUCAAUUCUAUAACAAGCUUGCUGUGUGACUUUGAGAAACUCACUCAACAUUUCUGGGUUUCAGUUUUUAUAAGCAUAAAAUGGGUCUAACAGUAGUACUUAUUUCAUAUGGUUAUUGUGUGGAUGAGGUAGGUUAAUACAUAAAAAUGCUAAGUUUCUGGCAUGUAGAAAAGUCUUAAUAAAUGUAGGCUAUUUAUAUUAUAUGACAUAUUUUUGAUCUUUUAACAGUAAUACAAAUGCCUAGACUAGAAAUGUAGUGACAAAUAAACCACUGAAUCAAAUAAUUGUACAUAGUAAAAACAAAAUGACUUUCUAUUACAAAAUAGCUAGCAAGUUGUAACCUAUAGAGAAAAUGGAAAAUGGUGGGUGUAAUAGUUUUCAUCCCCAAGUGGAAAGGAACAAUGGAAAAAAUGGCUAGUAUUUGAUUUAUCCUACUCUCGAAUUUGGAUAAUAUUUGAGCUCAUGCUUUACCCAAAUUGAGACCAAUUUAGAGUUCUUUAUUUCCAAGGCUCAAAUAGCUUCUCAAUUCACUUGCCUAUUCCAAAUUAUUUUAAAUUAUUAUUACAAACCAUUAGAAGAAAGGAGAAAUAAAUCCCUCAAGAUAUUAAAAAAGAAUUGGUAGCACAUGUACUUCUACAAACUUAUGAAUCAAUACAGUGCCAAGUACAACUAUGAACACAAACCCCCUGGGGAAUAAGAAGGAGUUCUUACUGUCCUGCAAACCCACAGUGGUUUUUCUCAAACAUGGCUCGUUAAAAUGCAGAUUUCAAUUCAUCGGUGCUGCUGUGGGGUUCAAGCUGAGUAUUUAUAAAAAGGCCCCAAAUAAUACACACAUCAUUGGCCCACAGACCCACUUGGAAGACCAAGGGGGUAGGUGACCAUCACCAACACCCAUCCGAAUGGCAGGUUCACACGGCCUAUUUGUCAUAAACUAAGGCUUUAACUGAAGUUUAUUUCCCUAGCAGUUUGCUCAGAUGUGGUAGAAAUAAGGAACAAACAUUCAAAAUAUAUAUUUAUAUACAUAGAAUAAUUCCCAAGUCACUGAGAUUUUUAAAGUCAAUUUUAACGGUAGAGUAGUAUCCUUUCCAAGAUCAACACAAAAACUCCUGUUGAUUAGAAUUCACUCCUUGCACCUAGCUGGUGACUCAGACAACUCAUGUAGCGUAUAGGCAAGGUUACCUAGAGAAUGUCGUCACUACACAUAAACUGCUUGAUAAAUUCAAUAGUCCAAGGACACUCAAAAAACAAUAUUGACUUGGAGGCCACUGGUAAGUCUUGGGCCACAGCCAAUUAUACUGGAGAACCUGUUAUAGAGGCAUAUUUGUACUGGCUUUGCUUUUAAACCUAUUUUAUUUACAGCAUAAAUUGAAAUUACUAGGCAGUAAUAAGCUUUAUCUUUUUAAUUUCCUUCUUUUAAGUUCCCGUCAUGAUUUUGCUCUCUAAAAGCUUUUCCCUUUGUUUGAUUAAUUAAGCAAAUUUAUACACCCAUUUAUAAGGCAUUUCCCCAAGUGUUACUGGAAAAACUAAGCAUACAUUUUGCACUGUAUGUAGAGAAGGCUUGAAUUAUAAAGGCUCCAUCCAAAUGAUACAUAAAAUUUCCCCUUUACAAUUAAUAUGCACACAAAGAAAACCAGAGCAAGCAGGUUAGCACUGGAUUAAAGUGCUUUCCCUGGAUCCAUCAUUUUCCCAGCACCAAUCUCUAACUGACUCUGCUCUUAGAUAAUUAAACAAAGCUCCUAUUAGGUUUAAUUUCAUUAAAUGAACUAAGUAUUUUCACUUUGUCUCUAAUCUGAUGAUAACUUAUACAGGGAAAUGGGAAGACAGUAAGGUAAAUUGAGUUUGCUGCAGUUUAACUUUAUGAACCAAGGAAAAUCACAACUGCUGCCAGUUUCUCUUCCCCACAUAGAACACCUUGCUAUCAGAAGAUACUUCCUUUGGCCUUGUAGUUGGUCCUAAUUAGGGUAAGGGAGGUGUCCAAGAUGAGUGGUUCAGUGUUGUUUGGCAAUACAUGGGUAGAUUUUUUUUUCACUGACAAAGCAAGAAGACAACAGCUAAAAGUAAAUUCUUCAUCUUCAUCUGGUCGUCCAACCUGAGUUUUGAUAGAUACUUAAGUUGAUUCCAUAUCUUGGCUGCUGAAAACAGUGUGUAUAUACAACGGAAUAUUACUCAACCAUACAAAAGAAUGAAAUAAUGCCUUUUGCAGCCACAUGGAUGGAACUAGAGGUUAUCAUACUAAAUGAAGUAAAUCAGAUAAAGACACACAUCAUAUGAUACCAUUUAUAUGUGGAAUCUAAAAAAAGUGUACAAAUGAAUUUAUUUG
rnacentral:lncRNA from 1 species